GGACUGCAACCGGAAAGGCAGGUCGGGUCGGCUCUGGGGCAGUGGGCGAGGGCCUCGGUGUUCAGAAGGCCGUCAUCUCUUCCAGAGUUUAGAGAAUCCUGUCAGCUACAAGGACAGAUGGGAAAUAGCCAGAGCCACCCGGGGCAGCGUUUCUCCUCGCGGUUUCUUCCUGGGGAGCAGGCCGAGAUUGACAGAUUGUUUGAUGCUCUCUCGUCAGAGGGACUCGGCUCCAGUACCUCGCCCAGAUCCUUCUCUCUGCAGGCACUGAAGAGGCAUGUGGGGGAAGCUCUUCCCGCAGAGAUGGUCGCCAGACUGUUUGAGGCCAUGCGGAGGGUGGACGGGACCGGGAAGACCAAGGGGCCCAGCGAGCGCAUCUCCCGGGAGCAGUUCACAGUGUCCAUGUCCCACCUUUUGAAAGGAAACGCCGAGGAGAAGAGUCUCGUGGUCCUGAAGAUGAUUUCUGCCACAGGAGGUCCCGUGAAAGCAAGCGAGGUCCGAAAGUUUACAGAGGAUCUGGUUGGCUCUGUGGCACACGUGCUAAACUACAGACAGAAGCUGAGAGGCUGGACUCAGAAGCAAGCCCCAGGCUCCCUGUCCAGGGUGCAGGUGCUGGCUGCUCAGCUGUGCUCCGAGAUGAAGCUUCAAGACGGGGAGAAGCUUCUGGGGCCUCAGCGGCUGGACUGUGACCGAGCCACGGUUGAGGACUGGGUGUUCAGGGCCCCCCACGUGGCCACGUUUCUGAGCGUGGUCAUCCACCAAGGCUUUCUCCUCCUGUGCUCGUCCCUCGAUCUGGCCACCCUGGUCCCCGAGCGCGAAGUCGACCAGGAGCGGGAGUUUGCGAGCGUCCUGGAUGUCCUGUCCGUCAUCUACAUCAACUCCCACCUGCCCAGGACGCAGCGGCACCACUGGCGCCUGCUGUUCUCAUCCGAACUCCACGGGCACAGCUUCGCCCAGCUCUGUGGGCGCAUCGUACACUGGGGGCCCUGCGUGGUGCUGCUCGAGGACCAUGACGGCCACGUGUUCGGUGGCUUUGCUUCCUGCUCCUGGGAGGUCAAACCUCAGUUUCAAGGGGACGACAGGUGCUUCCUGUUCUCCAUCUCCCCCAGCAUGGCCGUGUACACCUGCACGGGCUACAACGACCACUACAUGUACCUGAAUCAAGGGCAGCAGACCAUCCCGAACGGACUGGGCAUGGGAGGGCAGCACAAUUAUUUUGGCCUGUGGAUCGAUGUCGAUUUCGGGAAAGGACACAGCAAGGCCAAGCCCACGUGCACCACGUACAACAGCCCUCAGCUCUCGGCCCAGGAGGACUUCCGGUUCGAGAAGAUGGAGGUGUGGGCCGUGGGAGACGCUCCGGUGACACAGCUGGCCAAGAACACCAAGAGCGUUCUGGACGUGGACCCCGCGGCCCAGGCCCUGCUGGAAGUCAGCGGGCGGACUCGCCACAGCGAAGGGCUCCGGCAGGUGCCUGUUGACCACUGAGGAGGCGCCCCCAGCACGGGCCUUCCUGGAGCUGGAGCUCAGCCUGCAGACUGUGCUUCACUUUAAUCCAGAGCGUGCUGGUCAUGUCUGGGUGGUCCUGGAGGUGCCCAACUGAAACAGAGUACAGUUCCUCUGAUGCCCUGUGUCGGUUGAUGGGAUCUGCGUUUUCUACCGGGAGGCUCAUCAGACUCUGCGCUGAGCCCUGAGUAGAAGGCCUCGCAGAUGCGCCUUGGAAGAGAAGCACGAGCGCACACGGUGACAUGCGCACUCGGUCAUGAUCGAUUUUCCUUGUAAAAAGCCAGUUUUUAAUAGCUUCUCAGGUACAUUUCGCGACUUCUUAAUUGAUGGGAAGCGUAUGCAGGAUAUUAGGAUCCUCAGAUAUCCUUACCGUAACCUGAAGAAUUAGGCCCCGAGUCUUCAGUGUGUUACAGAAUAUUUUUUUUAGAAAAAAUGCAGUGAAAUAAUACCUCACUAAUAAAAGGUCCAUUGAAGACCACUUACUGCUGCCUCUGUCUGUGGCUGUCAGAGGGGCUGGGUGUGUCUGCCGGCCUCUUUUCUGCCUUGUGCCUCCUCUAACAAGAGUGCAGGCCAUACCCGGGGGCCUGACGGUUUCCCGAGACAGCACACCUCCACGGGGGGAGCUGGGCGCCCAGCCCAGGCGCUUGGUAACCUGGGGUGUUCGGCCCUCGCAGGGGGUGUGGGGCAGCCGUGUGCUUCCCCAGCAUGUGUGGUCCCGAGCACACAGGCCAGUUUGGUGUCAGCCGUGCCCAGGGCCACAGGACCCGAGGAACCACGCUCCUCCUGGGCCUGAGAAACCCGUGAUGCUAGUUUUAACGUGUGAUGAGUGUGUUCUUUGAUAAAAUGGGAAUAAGAAUUCAGGUUGUGAGGACUAGCGGUCUCCCUGGAGGUGAAGGCACAUAAGGGCCCCUGAUAGGCACUGGAGGGCAGGGGUGAAAAAGCGCUGUUCAUGGUACCGCAUGGCUGUUGUUACUUUUUUCCCCACCGUAUUUUUUUCUGGAAAUUUUUUUCUUUUAUUGAAUGAAAGAGUCUUUAAUUCUGCAGUGCUUUACAAUUUUAAAAGGUUUCACACACAUGAUCUUAUAUAAUAAUCCCAUAAUUUCCACCCCCCCCCCCAUAUUGCCCGUCCCCACUGGUAACAACUAGUUUGGUCUCUGUGUUUGUCAGAGUCUGCUUCUUUUUCAUUUUAUUCACUAGUUUGUUGUAUUUUUUAGAUUUCACAUAUAAGUGAUAUCAGACAGUAUUUGUCCUUCUCUGUCUGACUUAUUUCAUUUAGCAUAAUGCCCUCGAAGUCCAUCCAUGUAGCUGCAAGUGGCAAAAUUUCAUUCUUCUUUUAUGGCUGAGUAAUAGUCCAUUAUAUAUAUAUGUACACACGCAUCACAUAUUCAUAUGUAUGUAUAUAUGUGCACGCCACAUAUUCUUUAUCCAUUCAUCUGUUGAUAGACCCACCACAUAUUUUUUUAAUUAAAAAAUUAGCUUAUGCAUACACAGCAAAAAAGGUUAAAAUACAAAAGGAUGUAACUUGAAAGCUGCGUCUUCCUCCUGCCUCUGCUCUAGCAUUUUGUUCCCAGGAGGUAACGUGUUGUACACACUGGUCUGUCCCUCACCUUUUUUUUGGGUGGAAAUUGCUCUGUAUCUACCCAUUUAUCCUCAUCGUCUAUGUAAUGUCCCAUGAGAUGGAUGCCCCAUCCUUUCUGGUGUUCAGCCAUCCCCGGCUGGGGAACGGUCUGUUUGUAGCUAGUUGUUACUGGAAUGAAUAUCGUUCAUAUACAUCUUGGUGUGGUUUUGUCUGGUGAAUAAACUCUUCGAAGCUGAAUUGCUGGAUCAAAAGGUACAUGCUUUUUUAUUUAGAUAUUAACAAAUGAACCUCUUUCAAGCUAGAUUUAUACUUUUGAGACCUGGAAUGCCUGUUUGCCAUGUUUUCACCAAUACUAUAUUAAAAUUUAGUUUUUGUUUACCUGAUGCUUGAAAACUGUAAUUUUUUUUUUCUGUUUCUCUUAUGAAUGACAGUGAAGAGCUUUAUUUUUCAAGAACGGUGUGUGUCCUAUCCCUCACCUGGUUUCCUAGGGUGUGGGUGUUAUUGGUUUGCAAGAGUGCUCUUUUUUUUUUUAAAAAUAAAUUUUACUUAUUUAUUUAUUUUUGGCUGUGUUGGGUCUUCAUUGCUGCACGCACAGGCUUUCUCUAGUUGUGGCGAGCGGGGGCUACUCUUUGUUGCAGUGCGUGGGCUACUUGUUGCGGUGGCUUCUCUUGUUGUGGAGCGUGGUCUCUAGACGUGCGGGCUUCAGUAGUUGUGGCCUGCGGGCUCACUAGUUGUGGCUCACGGGCUCUAGAGUGCAGGCUCAGUAGUUGUGGCUCGUGGGCUCAGUAGUUGUGGCUCGCGGGCUCUAGAGUGCAGGCUCAGUAGUCGUG